UACGUAGGGGGCAAGCGUUGUCCGGAAUCAUUGGGCGUAAAGAGCGUGUAGGCGGCUCGGUAAGUCCGCUGUGAAAGUCCAGGGCUCAACCCUGGAAUGCCGGUGGAAACUGUCGAGCUAGAGUCCGGAAGAGGCGAGUGGAAUUCCUGGUGUAGCGGUGAAAUGCGCAGAUAUCAGGAGGAACACCUGUGGCGAAAGCGGCUCACUGGACCAUAACUGACGCUGAUGCACGAAAGCUAGGGGAGCAAACAGG
rnacentral:rRNA from 1 species